UUUCAUAUAAUUUGUCAUUAUCUUUAAUCAAAAAAGAAGGUUUAUCCAGCUCACCAUAAGCAUUCGGUGCACGGAGAGGACCGGACCCGUCCCUUGUACAAUCAGAAAAAUAAAGGAAUAUUCUCCAGCAUCC